rnacentral:piRNA from 1 species
GUUGCUUCUUUGAUUGGUCUGUAAGCUUAAGGCCCAAA